AUUGAACGCUGGCGGCAGGCCUAACACAUGCAAGUCGAACGAGUGGCGGACGGGUGAGUAAUGUCUGGGAAACUGCCCGAUGGAGGGGGAUAACUACUGGAAACGGUAGCUAAUACCGCAUACCAUCGGAUGUGCCCAGAUGGGAUUAGCCAGUCGGUGGGGUAACGGCUCACCUAGUCGACGAUCCCUAGCUGGUCUGAGAGGAUGACCAGCGACACUGGAACAGAGACACGGUCCAGAAUCCUACGGGAGGAAGCAGUGACGAAUAUUGCAGAAUGGGCGAAAGCCUGAUACAGACAUGCCGCGUGUAUGAAGGAGGCCUUCGGGUAGGAAAGUACUUUCAGCGGGGAGGAGUUACUCGCAGAAGAAGCACCGGCUAACUCCGUGCCAGCAGCCGCGGUAAUAC
rnacentral:rRNA from 1 species